rnacentral:lncRNA from 1 species
GUGAAUUUAACCCAUGCCUAACAUUUCCUGUCCUCUAGUGACUCUCAGGUCCCAAAGCAACUUAGAGGGCCCCAAGGAGAUUCUAACAGGCAAGCAGAGCCCCUCGAUGCUGAGGCUCCCAAGGCAGGCAAGCCUUUAUCAGCAGCUCCUGGGUUUGACCUUCAGACUCAGCCACUGGAUUCCAGCGUUGACAUCCUAGCAUCAGAAGAACAUUUGAAGCUUGUAUGAGUGAGCCAUUGAUCUGUGCUCCCACACUUGCGGGCUUGCUUGCUUGCUUAUCUGUCUAUGCUAGCUGGAAUAUGAGAGUCAGGUCACAUCACAAAGGCCAAGCGCUGACCACGUUCCUGACAUUGGUGGAUCUUGUAUCUAAAGUGGCAAGUCCGAAGGAAGACUGCAGAAGGCCAGAGUCCGGACAAGGAGGCCAGCCGGGCAAAGAGGCCGAAUCAGAAGCCAACGAGACUCCCAAGACUUCCAGGCUGGAGUGGAAAGGAAGUGUUUUGCUGCUAGAGGCAAGGCAGGAAACAGAACAGACCUGUGUUAGAGCAUGUCUGUCUCCCAGGACUGC